rnacentral:rRNA from 1 species
ACGAACGCUGGCGGCGUGCUUAACACAUGCCAGUCGAACGGAAAGGCCCUGCUUGCAGGGUACUCGAGUGGCGAACGGGUGAGUAACACGUGGGUGAUCUGCCCUGCACUUCGGGAUAAGCCUGGGAAACUGGGUCUAAUACCGGAUAGGAGCCAUUUUUAGUGUGAUGGUUGGAAAGUUUUUUCGGUGUAGGAUGAGCUCGCGGCCUAUCAGCUUGUUGGUGGGGUAAUGGCCUACCAAGGCGGCGACGGGUAGCCGGCCUGAGAGGGUGGACGGCCACAUUGGGACUGAGAUACGGCCCAGACUCCUACGGGAGGCAGCAGUGGGGAAUAUUGCACAAUGGGCGCAAGCCUGAUGCAGCGACGCCGCGUGGGGGAUGACGGCCUUCGGGUUGUAAACUCCUUUCGCUAGGGACGAAGCUUUUGUGACGGUACCUAGAUAAGAAGCACCGGCUAACUACGUG